AACAGGAUUAGAUACCCUGGUAGUCCACGCUGUAAACGAUGUCGACUUGGAGGUUGUUCCCUUGAGGAGUGGCUUCCGGAGCUAACGCGUUAAGUCGACCGCCUGGGGAGUACGGCCGCAAGGUUAAAACUCAAAUGAAUUGACGGGGGCCCGCACAAGCGGUGGAGCAUGUGGUUUAAUUCGAUGCAACGCGAAGAACCUUACCUACUCUUGACAUCCAGAGAACUUAGCAGAGAUGCUUUGAUGCCUUCGGGAACUCUGAGACAGGUGCUGCAUGGCUGUCGUCAGCUCGCGUUGUGAAAUGUUGGGUUAAGUCCCGCAACGAGCGCAACCCUUAUCCUUUGUUGCCAGCGGUCCGGCCGGGAACUCAAAGGAGACUGCCAGUGAUAAACUGGAGGAAGGUGGGGAUGACGUCAAGUCAUCAUGGCCCUUACGAGUAGGGCUACACACGUGCUACAAUGGCAUAUACAAAGAGAAGCGACCUCGCGAGAGCAAGCGGACCUCAUAAAGUAUGUCGUAGUCCGGAUUGGAGUCUGCAACUCGACUCCAUGAAGUCGGAAUCGCUAGUAAUCGUAGAUCAGAAUGCUACGGUGAAUACGUUCCCGGGCCUUGUACACACCGCCCGUCACACCAUGGGAGUGGGUUGCAAAAGAAGUAGGUAGCUUAACCUUCGGGAGGGCGCUUACCACUUUGUGAUUCAUGACUGGGGUGAAGUCGUAACAAGGUAACC
rnacentral:rRNA from 1 species